GGGGAUGUGGUCUAGGGGUAUGGCGUCCGCUUCGCAUGCGGAAGGUCAUGGGUUCAAUUCCCAUCUUCUCCA